rnacentral:rRNA from 1 species
CAGCAGCCCGGUAAUACGUAGGGUGCAAGCGUUAAUCGGAAUUACUGGGCGUAAAGCGUGCGCAGGCGGUGUUGUAAGACUGAUGUGAAAUCCCCGGGCUCAACCUGGGAACUGCAUUGGCGACUGCAACGCUGGAGUGCGGCAGAGGGGGAUGGAAUUCCGCGUGUAGCAGUGAAAUGCGUAGAUAUGCGGAGGAACACCGAUGGCGAAGGCAAUCCCCUGGGCCUGCACUGACGCUCAUGCACGAAAGCGUGGGGAGCAAACAGGAUUAGAUACCCCCGUAGUCCCUGUCUCUUAUACA